ensembl:lncRNA
UAUUUUCUUUGCACUGACUUUAGGGAGCCAGCCGCUUCCCGUGUUAGCACUCGGGUGCCAGGUGGCCAAAAACACGGGGCAAAGGUUUUCCUAGUUAAGUCGUGGUAUCCACAGCUGUAGCUCUGAGGAAGGAACAGGGCCAUUUGCGGCACUUCGUGCUGUGUGAAGGGUAAUUCGCAGCCUGUACUACAAGGACCCUGAGCAUUCCCCGGGCGGUACCUGAGCAGAUUAGGCCGAACAAACAACUUGUCAUCUCAGCUAUGAGCAAAGGGAGAAGUGUGGGCAUGGAGCUAGGAAGAUGGAGCAGACCCAUCAAGGUGAAAUGAGCAAGUCUGUGUUGUUGGAGAGUGAAAAAGCUGGCCAAAUCAUCUGCACAAUGUCCCUUGCCCAGCAGUUCUGUGUGAAAACCAAAAUCAUGCUUGGAAUUUCCAGAUUUCUCCAGUGCUUGCGGUUCCAACAUUUCCUCGUGGUGGCACAGACCGGCAACCUAGCCAGUCUUGGUGAACUGUCAAGAUCCAAAGUACAGCAGGAGACCUUCCUCGAGGAAAGAGUCUAUUUGUGAUGCUGGGAACACAUGUGGAAGUGACCUGUGCAGUCUCCCGAAUGACAAGCAGAGCUCUACUCUUAGUCUUCGGACUGUGAAAUCACCACAAAGAUGCCCAUGGAGGUGGAGAUGUACUCAGUGUCCAGGUGUAACUCAUUCGGGCUCUGUGAGGGCUGCCACAUGAGGAAGAAAACUCCUCUUUGGCAUCUG